CAAGUCCUUGAGGCUCAUAAGGGAUUUGAAUCCUUUGCUGACUAAGGAUGCAAUUUAAAUAAAUGCUCAUCAUUAAGCAGAGUUGCCAGCAGCAAUUUUGAGCAGACCAUGGCUGUAGACCUGGCAUCAGAUGAAGUGUCAUAAAGCAUUACAAAGCCAAAGAGGAGACAAGGAAUCCUUGCUUCUGAUUUUGCCUGGAAAGACUCUUGACUACUUCCAAGUGUACAUCUGAUAUCAAGCAAGCAACUAUUAAACUUUUCAAAUGCAACAAGCUUUGCUGAACCCCUCCCAUAGUCAUUGCUAUUUGCAGUGAAUUCAGCAAAGUCAAGAGGAAAGACCAUGGUGGGCAAAUGUUCCUUGGGGUCAGGCUGUGGGAGGGCAAGAAGUCUGAGAUCAUGAUUUCCCAAGACAAACAGAUCUGACUGGAGAGCUAUGUACCUUUUAUUUUUCCUGUAGAUUCCUGACUCAAAGAUAUUUGAAUCACCUGAAUGUCAGCAUACCCAGUGCAGUGUAAGAACAUACUGCUAUGACACCAGCACCAUAGCCAUCAGGCUCUGAGACAUCUGAUGGAGGCAUGGAGCCAUCUCAGGUGAGCUUUCCAUGUUCUGAUACUAAGACAGUGAUGGUGUUUUCAGAGGCAACUUCUGAAUAUAUUUAAUGUAUUUACAUUUUUAUCUAUUCUCAUUUCAAGCUGUCUGAGCUAACCCAAAGAUGUGGGGUGAUUUAAUGACAAAAGAAACAGUGCUUGCAUGUUAGGG
rnacentral:lncRNA from 1 species